rnacentral:tRNA from 1 species
UUCCCUGUGGCUCAGUUGGUAGAGCAUGGUGUUUGCAACGCCAGCAUGGUGUGUGCAACGCCAGGGUUGUGGGUUCGAUUCCCACAGGGGGGG